rnacentral:rRNA from 1 species
UGGGGAAUAUUGCACAAUGGGCGCAAGCCUGAUGCAGCCAUGCCGCGUGUGUGAAGAAGGCCUUCGGGUUGUAAAGCACUUUCAGCGAGGAGGAAGGUGGUGAGCUUAAUACGCUCAUCAAUUGACGUUACUCGCAGAAGAAGCACCGGCUAACUCCGUGCCAGCAGCCGCGGUAAUACGGAGGGUGCAAGCGUUAAUCGGAAUUACUGGGCGUAAAGCGCACGCAGGCGGUUUGUUAAGUCAGAUGUGAAAUCCCCGGGCUCAACCUGGGAACUGCAUUUGAAACUGGCAAGCUAGAGUCUCGUAGAGGGGGGUAGAAUUCCAGGUGUAGCGGUGAAAUGCGUAGAGAUCUGGAGGAAUACCGGUGGCGAAGGCGGCCCCCUGGACGAAGACUGACGCUCAGGUGCGAAAGCGUGGGGCAGCAAACAGGAUUAGAUACCCUGGUAGUCCACGCUGUAAAACGAUGUCGAUUUUGGAGGUUGUGCCCCUUGAGGCGUGGCUUCCGGAGCUAACGCGUUAAAUCGACCGCCUGGGGAGUACGGCCGCAAGGUUAAAACUCAAAUGAAUUG